UACAGAGGUCUCAAGCGUUGUUCGGAUUCAUUGGGCGUAACGGGUGUGUAGGUGGCGCCGUAAGUCGGGUGUGAAAUUUCGGAGCUUAACUCCGAAACUGCAUUCGAUACUGCGGUGCUUGAGGACUGGAGAGGAGACUGGAAUUCAUGGUGUAGCAGUGAAAUGCGCAGAUAUCAGGAGGAACACCGGUGGCGAAGGCGGGUCUCUGGGCCGAUACUGACGCUGAGGAGCGAAAGCGUGGGGAGCGAACAGG
rnacentral:rRNA from 1 species